AUUGUCUCAUGAAGAGUGCACUGGUGCACAAGCUUCUUGCUAGCAAUGAUGAUGGCAUGUUUGCUGAGUAAGGCAACACUCUCCAUGUCAUUAGACCAAACAACAUAUUUGACAAAAGGUGUUUGAAGAUCCCCAAGAACAAGCCUUUGCUGGAGAUCAAAUAUGACUACUCUAUCCUCUGCUCUGCAAAGCAAGUUACC
rnacentral:misc_RNA from 1 species